UCGGACAUAUCGAGUGCAUAGAGGAGGUCUGUAUCUAUAAUUCUUAAAAUAAUUGUUAUGCUUUUUGUGAACGUUUAUCGUGAGUAAUUUAGUAAAGAAGGAUAAGAAAUCGUCAGACAGGCAACAGAAGGAUAAGAAAUCGUCAGACAGGGCACUUCCUGUAUUGAAUCUUCUCAGGUUUUGGCCUGCUAUAUGAGUUCUGUUAUACUCACAGACACCAUUCAAACAGUUUUAGAAACUUUAGAGUGUUUUCUAUCCAAAUCUACUAAUUAUAUGCAUAUUCUCGUUUCUGGGCAAGAGUAGUAACCAGUUUAAAUCGGGUAUGUUUUUUAUCCGGCCGUGCAAAUACUGCCCCCUAGCCCCAACAGGUUUUAAUCUGGAUGGUCUCCCUUUGUUCAAAAGUACCAAUAUGUCAUUAUGGCCACUUUUGUGCUCCAUCAAUCUAUCACCACCCACAGUGUUUCCUCUGUUACUUGCAAUGGCAUCAUCGAAACCAAGCUCCCAGGAAUUCCUCAAUGACACUUUGCUGGAGCUUAAAGAGUUGAUGCAGACCGGCUUGAAGUGGGGAGACACAACACUGCAAGUGAAAGUUUGUUCUGUAACAUAUAAUGCACCUGCAAAAGCCAUGGUAAAAUGCAUAAAGAUGUAUUCUGGCUACUAUGGCUGUGACAGGUGCACACAAAAAGGCAGGUAUGAUUGGAGGAUGAUGUACCCGCAGGUAAAAAACAUGUGUCCCAGAACUGACAAAUCCUUUAGGGAAUUGGUACAGCCAGAACAUCACCUUGAAGGGAAAACCUCUCCUUUUUGCAUCCUCCCCAUUGAUAUGGUGAAGUCAUUCCCAAUUGACUAUAUGCACCUUUGUUGCCUCGGAGUAACCCGGAAGCUCUUGAUGAUGUGGACUAGGGGAAAGACUGGGGCCAGGUUGGCGUUGGUGCAAGUCAAGGAGGUAAGUCAACAACUAAACCGACUAAAGGAUUCAAUUCCAGACUGCUUUGCUCGCUAACCACGGGGAUUGGAUGACCUUGACCGUUGGAAGGCCACAGAAUUCAGACAGUUUCUACUCUAUACUGGGAAAGUAGUGCUGAGAAGAAUCUUGUCUAAAGAACAGUACACACACUUCAUGGCCUUCAGUGUUGCCAUGUGCAUUUUGGUUUCUCCUCAACUUUCUUCAAUCCACAGUGCCUAUGCUCAUGCUUUACUGAACUUCUUUGUGGAGCAGGGAAGGGUUUUGUAUGGUGACACAUUUCUCGUGUAUAAUGUUCACUCCUUCUACACCUCACUGCUGAUGCUGAAGAACAUGGCUGCCUUGACAACUGUAGUGCUUUCAAGUUUGAGAACUACUUGCAACAACUAAAGAAGAUGAUCCGUUCAGGGAGGCGGCCACUUGUGCAAAUUUGUAAAAGAGUGCAAGAACGCACCGUUAGAGCUUCUCCCCGCCAACAGGUCAUCAAAAUGAGACGGCCAAACGAUGCCUACAUACUUAAUGAUAGGUCAUGCUGUGAGGUAGUGAGCCAACAAGAUGCCUCAGAUACUUACCUCUGCAGGGUGUUUCAGCAUCUGGAAUCUUGCACGCUGAGUCCUUGUGACUCAAGACUGUAUUGGACUUUCCUCACCACUACGAGGAGCACACAAAUGCAUCUCAUUGCAAAGAGCAGUCUUGUUAAGCAAGCUAUUAUACUUGAGGAGGACCAUGGCACUCGUGUUGUGCUUACCAUCUUGCACAGCCUGUAGCAAGCCCCAUUUAGCUACAGCCAAGUUCACAAGCUGGAUUAGUUUUGCAAACUAUCUUGGCUGGUAAAUCAAGAGACUGAACAGUGUGGAAUUGGUGUUUUGCUUUUCUACACAGGGCACACAGUGUUAUUAUGUUGUACAUUUUGUAAAAGAGAACACUGUUGAAGUUGUACCAGAGCAGUGGGUGGAGAAGAGAGAUGGGGUGAGUUGAUCAGUUAAAUGGUUUACCCUUUUCAGGCAAAGGGAUGGAUAAAUAGUUCACUUUAAACAGUGUCUCAUAUCUUGCAGGUCCUGUGUUGCUACUGGCCAAGAAAUGCCAGCGCAACAAUGAUUAAGAGAUGAGACCGGCCUGACAAAAUAUUAUGGGAGAAGUACAGAAUUUCCAUCUUUUCAUCCACUGGUAAAAUAAUAUUUUACUGUAUCCAUCCACUCCCGUUUAUAUUGCAACGUAUGCUUGGUGGUGUGGCUCUGGAGCAGGUUGCAUCAGUUGAACAUACGUAAGGCUAGUUCCAACGUAGAAUAUGUUCUAAGCCAGGCGUAAACCUGUGUCACCACCGGGUUGUAAGUAAUAGCUUUUUCUACGCCAGGGUGUAAAAACGAAGUGUAAUGUGGAGUAGACGUAUAGUAUAAAUCUAUAACUAGUUUCCAAGGUAAGUGUUUCAUGACUAGUCAUUUCGCGUCUUGUUCAAUUUUCUAAAUCAUUAUGUCGGGCGUAGGUAGGCCCAACUUAUCUCUUACACCUUAUUUGCGUCAAACUGGUGCAACACACUCCUGGUCAGUAGAGUCAGGAACUUCCCCCCCUUAAGUACCAUAUGUAUUUGCUGAAAGUAUUACUAUGUGAAUUACAAAUACUCAAUACCCUGUUUUGCCAGCGUUAAUAGGAAAGUAUUUAUGACUAUGUUUAUUGCACGUACAGACAAUUACUCUGUGGCAGAGCAAUGAGCCAAAUGGGGGGUUGACACCUCCAAUGUUGAAUCUGACGAGGAACCAGCGAAGAGGGCGGUGACUAAACCAAUCAGAUUCCGUGUGGAGGCACCUGAUGAUGAUGGAAGUGAAGCACUCCAGAAAAAGACAAAUGAACCCAGAUAAGCACAGCUUCCAGUUCCCCAGCUUCCACCAGCCCCUAGUGCAACUUCAAGAUCCAGUGUCUUUGAAAAGACCCUACAAGUUGCAGAUGCCGAGGACUUGAGGCCAUGUGCCACCUCAAGCCAGAGCGACAGUAAGUGUCUGGUUGUAGUUUGUUAGGGUAAACAAUUUAAUUGUAUGAAGUAUUAUAGCUUUACAAACCUUUCAAAGCCACUCAAUAGAAUACAAUUACCAUCACAUUUUUGCAUAUUAGGUUAUUUCAAGUCUUAUUUCUACUUUGUGCAUACUGUUAGAACUUUCCAAAUACUUGUGGUGCUGUGUAUGGGUGAAACUUGUAUUUACAACAGUAGUGAAAUCACCAUAUUCUUCUUGGGUAAAACACAAGUGUGAUGCCAUGUUUGUAAAUAUCUGUAUGCAUUUGCCAUCAAACUAAAAGCAUUAUUUAAAACAAAAAAAUAUGCUUAGCAUUUAUUUUUGUUGGGAUUCAUUAACCUUCCCACUGAGCUCCUGACUGACAUCCCUUCACUCUUGGUUCUGUGCCAGUUUCAAAAGCAUGCAAAGUAUGUCUUCAUUUUUUCCUUCUGUUUUCUCAGUUAGUCCAAGUGGCAGCCAGGAAGAAGCUGGCCAAGACACAGCAUCAGAAUCAGGUUUCUUUAGCCAUCAAGAUAUUGAUCUCGAAGUCGUAAAUGUAGAAAGUUUAAAUAACAGCAUGAUUUUUUACUUAUAUUUUAGACCAAGAGCUGCCAUCCCUGCUUGAUGAGCCUAUGGCUUCUGAGAUGCAUGCUGGAUACAUUAAAGAUCUUCAAGCAGUGGAGAUGAGGAUAAUGGUGAAACUGGAGAUGAUCCGUACAGAGUUCAAGACUGUUCUGAACCAAGUUCUGGAGGCCAUAGAGGCCCGGCAGCCAAAGGAGUCGGAAUCCUUGGGGCAACUUGAAAUGCUGCAAAACCCUGCAGAAACAAAUGAGGAACUGAAGGAUAUCUGUGAAACACAAAGACUCCCACUAUCGAAAGAAAAUGAUCCGAUACCUGACCCUCUGCUGUGGCCUGGACCUGGGCUCAGGAAUCAGACGAAUGAUGAGAAAAAUUGGAACAGAGGAGCUGUGGACAGGCUACUCCUUGAAGGGCAGGAAGGGGAAGAGGGCCUUUAAUGAGCUAUCAAUCUAUGAUGCUGUCACAAGAGCAUCCCUGAAAGCACACCCCAAGGCUACCUACCAAGAGGUAGAUGACAAAAUAGCAGACGCUCUCAAACAUGCACCAGCUCGGCUCAAGAGUAAGAGAAAGUCCUUUAGGUGCCUUUUGGCAAACUCCAAGUGGGCUGUCAUGUGCCUUUUACUGAGGAGUGGCUUCGUCUGGCCACUCUGCCAUAAAGGCCUGAUUUGUGGAGUGCUGCAGAGAUGGUUGACCAUCUGGAAGGUUCUCCUAUCUCCACAGAGAAACUCUGGAGCUCUGUCAGAGUGACCAUCGGGUUCUUGGUCACCUGCGUGACCAAGGCCCUUCUCACCCGAUUGUUCAGUUUGGCCGGUUGGCCAGCUCUUGGAAGAGUCUUGGUGGUUUCAAACUUCUUCCAUUUAAGAAUGAUGGAGGGCACUGUGUUCUAAAUGACGAUCAAUGGAAACAGGAUGCACCUGAGAUCAAUUUCGAGACUCAAAACAAAGGGUCA
rnacentral:lncRNA from 1 species